ACGGAGGAUCCAAGCGUUAUCCGGAAUUACUGGGCGUAAAGAGUUGCGUAGGUGGCAUAGUAAGUAGAUAGUGAAAGCGUGUGGCUCAACCAUACUCACAUUAUCUAAACUGCUAAGCUAGAAGAUGAGAGAGGUAGAUGGAAUUUCUUGUGUAGGAGUGAAAUCCGUAGAUAUAAGAAGGAACACCGAUGGCGUAGGCAGUCUACUGGCUCAUUCUUGACACUAAGGCACGAAAGCGUGGGGAGCAAACGGGA
rnacentral:rRNA from 1 species